rnacentral:rRNA from 1 species
CCUACGUGGCUGCAGUGGGGAAUAUUGGACAAUGGGCGAAAGCCUGAUCCAGCCAUGCCGCGUGUGUGAAGAAGGCCUUCGGGUUGUAAAGCACUUUCAGUGGGGAAGAAAGCCUUGGGGCUAAUACCCUCGAGGAAGGACAUCACCCACAGAAGAAGCACCGGCUAACUCCGUGCCAGCAGCCGCGGUAAUACGGAGGGUGCGAGCGUUAAUCGGAAUUACUGGGCGUAAAGCGCGCGUAGGCGGUCUGAUAAGCCGGUUGUGAAAGCCCCGGGCUCAACCUGGGAACGGCAUCCGGAACUGUCAGGCUAGAGUGCAGGAGAGGAAGGUAGAAUUCCCGGUGUAGCGGUGAAAUGCGUAGAGAUCGGGAGGAAUACCAGUGGCGAAGGCGGCCUUCUGGACUGACACUGACGCUGAGGUGCGAAAGCGUGGGUAGCAAACAGGAUUAGAUACCCUUGUAGUC